UACGGAGGGGGCUAGCGUUGUUCGGAAUUACUGGGCGUAAAGCGCACGUAGGCGGCUUCGCAAGUCAGAGGUGAAAGCCUGGGGCUCAACCUCAGAACUGCCUUUGAGACUGCGAGGCUCGAAUCCGGGAGAGGUGAGUGGAAUUCCGAGUGUAGAGGUGAAAUUCGUAGAUAUUCGGAAGAACACCAGUGGCGAAGGCGGCUCACUGGACCGGCACUGACGCUGAGGUGCGAAAGCGUGGGGAGCAAACAGG
rnacentral:rRNA from 1 species